CAGUUCGUCUUCAGUUUUGGUUUGGAGCUCAGUCACCUGCUUUCACCUGACUGGUUUUGGUGCUCUCCAAUAUGACAUAACACUUCUGAAACCAAAAAACCAGGGACGGCCGGUGUGCUGAACUCGAGGCUUCAAAAUAGCAGUCCACAAACCAAUGGGGGGACAUCACGCGCUGCUGGAGAUUGACAGAAAAGUGGGAAGAGAGAGGGAAAUGACAUGCAGCAAAGGGCCGCAGGUUGGAUCAAACCCGAGCUGCUGCAAAGGACUCAGCCUACCAGGACGUUCUACAGCAAGCACAGUUUUCUAAGUAAUCCUAGUGCUCUCUAUCCAAUGUGGAAGACUAUGAGAUGCAGCUGAAAGCCCUGGAAAUGCUGGUUGCCCUCUUGUUGCCACCUCGGCCUUCUUGUUGAUCCCCCUCUUCCUCUGUCUCACUUGUCCUCCAACGUCACCCUCCCCACCCAUCCUUGCC